rnacentral:rRNA from 1 species
GACGAACGCUGGCGGCGUGCUUAACACAUGCAAGUCGAACGGAAAGGCCCUGCUUUUGUGGGGUGCUCGAGUGGCGAACGGGUGAGUAACACGUGAGUAACCUGCCCUUGACUUUGGGAUAACUUUAGGAAACUGGGGCUAAUACCGGAUAGGAGCUCCUGCUGCAUGGUGGGGGUUGGAAAGUUUCGGCGGUUGGGGAUGGAGUUGCGGCUUAUCAGCUUGUUGGUGGGGUAGUGGCUUACCAAGGCUUUGACGGGUAGCCGGCCUGAGAGGGUGACCGGCCACAUUGGGACUGAGGUACGGCCCAGACUCCUACGGGAGGCAGCAGUGGGGAAUAUUGCACAAUGGGCGGAAGCCUGAUGCAGCGACGCCGCGUGCGGGAUGACUGCCUUCGGGUUGUAAACCGCUUUCGCCUGUGACGAAGCGUGAGUGACGGUAAUGGGUAAAGAAGCACCGGCUAACUACGUG